CUAGUGCUUGCUUUGGCUAUACUAAAAUUAGAAUGAUACAGAGAAGUUUAGCAUGGUCUUUGAGCAAGGAUGACACACAAAUUCAUGAAGUGUUCCAUAUUUUU
ensembl:snRNA U6 U6 spliceosomal RNA